UACAGAGGUGGCAAGCGUUGUUCGGAAUUACUGGGCGUAAAGGGCGCGUAGGCGGCCUUAUAAGUCUCGUGUGAAAGCCCUCGGCUUAACUGAGGAUCUGCACGGGAUACUGUAGGGCUCGAGUUCGGGAGAGGAAAGCGGAAUUCCGGGUGUAGCGGUGAAAUGCGUAGAUAUCUGGAGGAACACCGGUGGCGAAGGCGGCAUCCUGGACCGGCAUUGACGCUGAGGCGCGAAAGCUAGGGGAGCAAACGGG
rnacentral:rRNA from 1 species